rfam:Gorilla gorilla gorilla genomic chromosome, chr4, whole genome shotgun sequence
GCCGGGUAUGGUGGUGCAUGCCUGUAGUCCCAACUACUUGGAAGGCUGAGGCAGGAGAAUUGCUUGAACCCAGGAGGUGGAGGUUGCAGUGAGCCAAGAUCUUGCCACUGCACUUCCAGCCUGGGCAACAGAGCAAGACUCUGUUUCAA